CACGUUGAAAUACCGGUUCCUGUACGAUCACUGAAGUUAAGCAACAUCGAGCCUGGUCAGUACCUUCAUGAGUAAUCGUUUGGAAACGCCAGAUGCUGUAA